CAGCACAGCUUCCCGAGAGUCAGUGCCUUUGCGUCCUGAAUGUGUGUCCCUAACAAAGAUGACUCCGUGCCCAGAUAAUACAGCGGGUACAGAAAAAAGAAAGCAAGACGAAUAAAAGGGCAGAGACCUUUGUGUAUAAUGCAUGAUCAAGAAGUUUGAACUGGGUUAAAACAUCAGAGAACAGAAACUUCUAAGAAUCAGAGUCCUAAUUCUUCACGGCAUUUGGUCAUGCGAACAUCAAGCUAACCUUUCUGUCACAGCCAGAGACUGGGCUUGUCACAAAGCACCAGAAGUUAGCUCCAAAGAAGAGAAUGUCUGUUCUGUUCACUGUCAUUUCCCCUGACACACUGAGAGCUCUGAAUAAGUAUUUGGUGAGUGCGUAUAGGAGGAAACACCCUUGUAUCCAGCACCCAACUGAAGGAAUAGGACAAAUCCCCUGCAUGACCCUCCUCCAUUCCAUCCUUUCCUCCUCGAUCAGAGGUUGCCAUGAAUCUAAACUUUUUAUCACUCCCCUGCUUUUUAAAAAAAUACUGUGUGUGUUUGAAACACAAUAUGUGUUUA